rnacentral:rRNA from 1 species
UACAGAGGUCUCAAGCGUUGUUCGGAUUCAUUGGGCGUAAAGGGUGCGUAGGUGGCGAGGCAAGUCAGAUGUGAAAUCCCGGGGCUCAACCCCGGAACUGCAUUUGAAACUGCCUUGCUCGAGUACUGGAGAGGAGACUGGAAUUUACGGUGUAGCAGUGAAAUGCGUAGAUAUCGUAAGGAAGACCAGUGGCGAAGGCGGGUCUCUGGGACGGUACUGACGCUGAGACGCGAAAGCGUGGGGAGCAAACAGG